UAUUAUUUUUUCAAUGCUUUUGGGAAAUGACAAGGAUCACUUCUUCAUUAUAGACUUGCUGUGUUCCAACUCCCAUUGAAGAUUGAAAAAGCCCUUUUCCCCACAACAACCCAGUGAGGGAAGGAGUGCAGCGGCCCAUCAUCCCUUUUUUAUAGAAGAGGAACUGAGGCUCAGACAGCCACACCUGGCCCUCAACUCCCAUUUCUCCUUCUGGUUCUGAGCCCUGAGUUAUCCCUGUCAUGCAUGGAUGCAGACAUAGGUAAUUCACCUUAUCAGCCCUUAGGAAGCCCUCUUCUAUGAAGUCCUGAGCUGGAGUUGGACUUUCCCUGGGGCCUAGUGGGAAAUUUGAGAUCUCUCCCCACCCCCCCAA
rnacentral:lncRNA from 1 species